rnacentral:tRNA from 2 species
CGGGAGGUAGCUCAGCUUGGUAGAGCUUCCGAGCCAACCGGAUUGUCGCAGGUUCAAAUCCCGCCCUCCCGACCA